rnacentral:rRNA from 1 species
AGCGAACGCUGGCGGCAGGCCUAACACAUGCAAGUCGAACGGGCACCUUCGGGUGUCAGUGGCAGACGGGUGAGUAACACGUGGGAACGUGCCCUUUGGUUCGGGACAACUCCGGGAAACUGGAGCUAAUACCGGAUAAGCCCUUCGGGGAAGGAUUAUCGCCAAGGAUCGGCCCGCGUCUGAUUAGCUAGUUGGUGAGGUAAUGGCUCACCAAGGCGACGAUCAGUAGCUGGUCNGAGAGGAUGAUCAGCCACACUGGGACUGAGACACGGCCCAGACUCCUACGGGAGGCAGCAGUGGGGAAUAUUGGACAAUGGGCGCAAGCCUGAUCCAGCCAUGCCGCGUGAGUGAUGAAGGCCUUAGGG